GACGAACGCUGGCGGCGUGCUUAACACAUGCAAGUCGAACGAUGAAGCUGGAGCUUGCUCCGGUGGAUUAGUGGCGAACGGGUGAGUAACACGUGAGCAAUCUGCCCUUGACUCUUGGAUAACUGCGGGAAACUGUAGCUAAUACCGGAUACGAGAUUUGGAGGCAUCUCCGGAUCUGUAAAGAAUUUCGGUCAAGGAUGAGCUCGCGGCCUAUCAGCUUGUUGGUGGGGUAAUGGCUCACCAAGGCGACGAGGGGUAGCCGGCCUGAGAGGGUGACCGGCCACACUGGGACUGAGACACGGCCCAGACUCCUACGGGAGGCAGCAGUGGGGAAUAUUGCACAAUGGGCGAAAGCCUGAUGCAGCAACGCCGCGUGAGGGAUGAAGGCCUUCGGGUUGUAAACCUCUUUUAGUAGGGAAGAAGCGAAAGUGACGGUACCUACAGAAAAAGCACCGGCUAACUACGUGCCAGCAGCCGCAGUAA
rnacentral:rRNA from 1 species